GAGGGGGGGACCCCUGUACGAUUCCCGGUCUUUUCCUACCGCGGGUCUCCGCGAGCGCUCCCCCAGUUGCCACUGCGAGUCUGUGACAUAUUCGCGUGCCCUUGGAUCAUGGCACCGCCGUGCGCUGCAUGACUCACUUCAACCCCGUUCACCUGCUCGCGGAGACGUGCAGUUCCCGAGGAGGGCUGGAGAUCUCAGCUGAACAUCGCUCCGGUUACCGUCUGAAGUCGAGAGGUCGGAGAGACGAGAGACCCCGCUGCCUGGCGUCAGACUGACGAAUCGCCGGGGAAAUAAAACCGUGGCGCUGACUGUCGACAACACUUCAAGCUGAGUGUGGUUUUGGUGGCGAAUAACUGACAGGCACCGUGAUGACUGCAUCUGGAAGAAAGUGAGGGCUCUUGAUGCAUGAAUGGAACUCCGAGGCCCGUCAUGUUCCGUUGCCAUGGCACUGUAGUGGCGAGGUCGGAGCUCUGCCCAUCGUGUCGUCAUUGACCUUCGUGUUGGGGGUCACCCGCAUGGCCUCCCCCUGCCCCACUGAGGGUCCCAGCUGUGUCUGCACCCCCUCACAGACACCUCCCCUCACCUCCUCCUGCUCUUACACCUCCUCCUGCUCCUGCUGCUCCUCCUGGCUGGUGAGAUGAAGACAGCUAGCCGCACCGCGUCCCGCUGCAGUUCCCCUCCAGCCCAGAUGAGGCGCUAUCGAACCGGGGCUGGGCCGGGGGUGUACCCCUUCCUCUUCCCCUCGGUGAUCAGCAGCUUGCCCCCCCCCCAGACACUGCAGGCUCCCCGCACCCCCAGCGGCAGCAGCACCCCCUCUCCUGCAGCCUGUUUGAAAAAACAUACUUGGCCUUGCAGCUGCAGAGAUAAAGACGUCAUCGGAGGCGGACUCUACUCAAAACAGCCAGGAAGAGAGAAAACAAGUGAACGAUGUGUGACCUGUGAUCACUGUAUAAACCCCUGAACUUUGU